GAUGAAGAACGUAGCGAAAUGCGAUACUUGGUGUGAAUUGCAGAAUCCCGUGAACCAUCGAAUCUUUGAACGCACAUUGCGCCCUCUGGUAUUCCGGGGGGCAUGCCUGUUCGAGCGUCAUUACAACCCUCAAGCUUUGCUUGGUAUUGGACAUUGCCAGUUUCUGGCAGGUCUUAAAAUCAGUGGCGGUGCCAUUUGGCUUCAAGCGUAGUAAUUCUUCUCGCUUUGGAGAUCCAGGUGGUUACUUGCCAAUAACCCCCAAUUUUUUCAGGUUGACCUCGGAUCAGGUAGGGAUACCCGCUGAACUUAAGCAUAUCAAUAAGCGGAGGA
rnacentral:misc_RNA from 1 species